GCCCCUUUAGCUCAGUCGGCAGAGCGCCUCCAUGGUAAGGAGAAGGUCUACGGUUCGAUUCCGUAAAGGGGCU
rnacentral:tRNA from 1 species